AUGAAUAUUGCCCUCCUGUCCAAAUGGCUUUGGCGGAUCCAGAAUGAGGAGGGUGGCCUGUGGCUUCAGAUUAUCCGUGGGAAGUACCUUCACGGGCAACCGCUAGCAUUUGCAUCUAGGUCUAGAGGUUCCCAAUUCUGGCAAUCGGUGAUCCCUUUGUUACCAGUCCUGCGCAUUGGGACUUCCAUCCAGAUAGGCUCCGGUGCUGCCACCCUAUUUUGGCUGGAUAGAUGGGCGGGUACCCGCCCCUUUGCAGAUCGUUUUUUGGCGUUAUUCUCUAUCUGUGUACGCCCACAGAUCUCCGUGGCUGCGACCUUAGCGAACCUAGGCGUGAUUGCCUUGCGCCGAACCUUCGGGGCGGUUGAACUUGCGCAAUGGGAGGAGCUACUUGAGUGUAUUGCCCUUUACUCCCCUUCGCUGGAACCGGAUACGCUUUCUUGACAUCUGGAGCCAAGCGGUAAAUUUUCGACUAGAUCUCUGUACCAGGUGAUUGUUCCUACUCCUGGUCCAGUGGAGCUAGAGGUGCUUUGGGAGAUCAAACUCCCCCUGAAGAUCCGUACAUUUCUAUGGCAAUGGGUUAGAGGUCGCCUCACCUCAGGCACUGAGGUCCGUAAGCGUAAUGGACCUGGGGAUGAUAUCUGCCCCAUUUGUCUGGUACCGGAAAAUUGCAACCACAUCUUCUUCCGGUGCCCGGCAGCUCAGUUCUUGUGGAGUUGCUCCCGGGAAGUGGUUGGGGGCACGUGGUGCCAUGACAACCUCCCGGAUUUGUUCGGGGAGGUCUUUAGGCUCUCCGGGCCUAGGCGCGCCCCUAUUUGGGUAGCGCUAGCUACCCUUGCCUGGUCUCUUUGGUGUUCCCGCAAUAAACUAGUCAUCGAACCAGUGAUUCCGUCUCGAGUGACUAAUGUGAUCUAUAAAAUGUGUGGCUUCUUACAGCUCUGGAGACCGCUUAGCAAGCGGAGAGGCGUCAUCGACAACAUCAUGGCGGGUCUUCGUGCCUCGGCAGCGUCUUUUGCUCCUCCGCCACCACCUCCUCCUCCUCCUCCUGAGCCGGAUUAA
rnacentral:rRNA from 1 species